CCAAAGGUUUUUCUUGGAUUCUAUUAUUAAAAGAACUUCCCAAAACCACAAAAUAAUUAUUUUAAAAGUUAU
rfam:Hordeum vulgare subsp. vulgare, WGS project CAJW01000000 data, contig: morex_contig_71546